UGGGGAAUAUUGGACAAUGGGCGCAAGCCUGAUCCAGCCAUGCCGCGUGAGUGAUGAAGGCCCUAGGGUUGUAAAGCUCUUUCACCGGUGAAGAUAAUGACGGUAACCGGAGAAGAAGCCCCGGCUAACUUCGUGCCAGCAGCCGCGGUAAUACGAAGGGGGCUAGCGUUGUUCGGAUUUACUGGGCGUAAAGCGCACGUAGGCGGACUUUUAAGUCAGGGGUGAAAUCCCGGGGCUCAACCCCGGAACUGCCUUUGAUACUGGAAGUCUUGAGUAUGGUAGAGGUGAGUGGAAUUCCGAGUGUAGAGGUGAAGUUCGUAGAUAUUCGGAGGAACACCAGUGGCGAAGGCGGCUCACUGGACCAUUAGUGACGCUGAGGUGCGAAAGCGUGGGGAGCAAACAGG
rnacentral:rRNA from 1 species